CGCGGCCUAUCAGCUUGUUGGUGAGGUAACGGCUCACCAAGGCAUCGACGGGUAGCUGGUCUGAGAGGACGAUCAGCCACACUGGGACUGAGACACGGCCCAGACUCCUACGGGAGGCAGCAGUAGGGAAUCUUGCGCAAUGGGCGAAAGCCUGACGCAGCAACGCCGCGUGGGGGAUGAAUGCCUUCGGGUUGUAAACCCCUUUCAGCAGGGAAGAAAAUGACGGUACCUGCAGAAGAAGGUGCGGCCAACUACGUGCCAGCAGCCGCGGUGACACGUAGGCACCAAGCGUUGUCCGGAUUUAUUGGGCGUAAAGAGCUCGUAGGCGGUUCAGUAAGUCGGGUGUGAAAACUCUGGGCUCAACCCAGAGACGCCACUCGAUACUGCUGUGACUCGAGUGCGGUAGGGGAGCGGGGAAUUCCUAGUGUAGCGGUGAAAUGCGCAGAUACUAGGAGGAACACCAGUGGCGAAGGCGCCGCUCUGGGCCGUAACUGACGCUGAGGAGCGAAAGCGUGGGUAGCAAACAGGAUUAGAUACCCUGGUAGUCCACGCCGUAAACGUUGGGCACUAGGUGUGGGUCUCAACCAACGAGAUCCGCGCCGUCGCUAACGCAUUAAGUGCCCCGCCUGGGGAGUACGG
rnacentral:rRNA from 1 species